rnacentral:rRNA from 1 species
GACGAACGCUGGCGGCGUGCUUAACACAUGCAAGUCGAACGGAAAGGCCCUGCUUUUGUGGGGUGCUCGAGUGGCGAACGGGUGAGUAACACGUGAGUAACCUGCCCUUGACUUUGGUAUAACUUCAGGAAACUGGGGCUAAUACCGGAUAGGAGCUCCUGCUGCAUGGUGGGGGUUGGAAAGUUUCGGCGGUUGGGGAUGGACUCGCGGCUUAUCAGCUUGUUGGUGGGGUAGUGGCUUACCAAGGCUUUGACGGGUAGCCGGCCUGAGAGGGUGACCGGCAACAUUGGGACAGAGAUACGGCCCAGACUCCUACGGGAGGCAGCAGUGGGGAAUAUUGCACAAUGGGCGGAAGCCUGAUGCAGCAACGCCGCGUGCGGGAUGACGGACUUCGGGUUGUAAACCGCUUUCGCCUGUGACGAAGCGUGAGUGACGGUAAUGGGUAAAGAAGCACCGGCUAACUACGUG